CCUACGGGAGGCAGCAGUGGGGAAUAUUGGGCAAUGGACGCAAGUCUGACCCAGCAACGCCGCGUGAAGGAAGAAGGCUUUCGGGUUGUAAACUUCUUUUUAGGGGGAAGAGCAGAAGACGGUACCCCUUGAAUAAGCCACGGCUAACUACGUGCCAGCAGCCGCGGUAAUACGUAGGUGGCAAGCGUUGUCCGGAUUUACUGGGUGUAAAGGGAGCGUAGACGGUAAUGCAAGUCUGGAGUGAAAGGCGGGGGCCCACCCCCCGGACUGCUCUGGAAACUGUGUAACUGGAGUGCAGGAGAGGCAGGCGGAAUUCCUAGUGUAGCGGUGAAAUGCGUAGAUAUUAGGAGGAACACCAGUGGCGAAGGCGGCCUGCUGGACUGUAACUGACGUUGAGGCUCGAAAGCGUGGGGAGCAAACAGGAUUAGAUACCCGGGUAGUC
rnacentral:rRNA from 1 species